AUUGAACGCUAGCGGGAUGCUUAACACAUGCAAGUCGAACGAGUGGCGGACGUGUGAGUAAUAUAUCGGAACGUGCCCAGUAGCGGGGGAUAACUCCUCGAAAGAGUGGCUAAUACCGCAUACACUCAGAUGGGCCGAUACUGGAUGCGCUAGUUGGUGGGGUAAAGGAUCACCAAGGCAACGCUCCGUAGCUGGUUUGAGAGGACGACCAGCCACACUGGCACUGAGACACGGACCAGACUCCUACGGGAGGCAGCAGUGGGGAAUUUUGGACAAUGGGGGAAACCCUGAUCCAGCCAUCCCGCGUGUAUGAGAAGGCCUUCGGGUUGUAAAGUACUUUUGGCAGAGAAGCGGUAUCUGCAGAAUAAGCCCCGGCUAACUCCGUGCCAGCAGCCGCGGUAAUAC
rnacentral:rRNA from 1 species